rnacentral:misc_RNA from 1 species
CCUUUACUCACAAGCCACCUUGGAGACUCGGGCAAGUAAAGUACAGUCAAAGCAAAAUAAACAAGAGAGGGAAUAGAAAGAACCCCAAGCAUCAAUCUCCAACUUGGUGCCUUCGUCAAGGACAUUCCAAACACCAUACAGUAUGACAUAAACAUGCCACCAGAUCCAGUGAACUGAGGAAGAGUAUUCAACAAUCCCCUGAUUUCAGGUGGUGCAGUCUCAGAUAUAUAAACUGGAACAAGAGUUACUGCCAAACCAAUACCAAAUCCAUCCAAAAGCCUUGCCAAGAGUAGAACAUAAACAUUGGGAGACCAAAACAUCACAACACCACUCACGCAAUAGAGUAUAGAAGAGAUUAUCAACAUAGGACGGCGCC